rnacentral:lncRNA from 1 species
AUUGAAGUCACAUGUCCAAGUCAUACAUUCAAAUAGGAGUUUAUCUCCAAAUGAAGGACUAAACCACCUAAUUUCACUAUAUAUGAACAACAAUAAGUGCUCCCUCUUAUCUUUCCCAAACCAAACAUAGCAGUCUCGUGUCCCAGUUAUAGAAAGCCAUUAAUCAAUUUCUGGUUUCACCAUAUUAUUAUAUAAUUAGUUAAUAGGGAAGAGGAGGGGGAAUGAAUCCAUGCAGAGUCAUAGGAACCAAAUCAAGACAAAUAAUAUCAUUAGCAAUUUAGCACAGUUGGGGAAAAGACGAAGGUUGGUGCCCCUAGGGUUUAACAAAAUAUUUGGAUAGAAUGUUUAUUAUAUCCUCAAUUUUUUUUUAUAUCAAAUUAGUUUUUUAUAUUUAAAAAUAAUAAUCUUGAUUCUUAUAUUUUUUUUAAUAAUUAGUGACUUUUUUCCCUCACCCUAAUAUCUUAAUUCUUAAGUUUCAUAAUGAAAAAUAAUAAUCUUGAUUCUGGUAUUUUUUUUAUUUAUUUUUUAUACAUGUUCGUGCAAACCGCACGAAAGCAAUUUUUGUAUAAAUUAGAUAAUUAUAAAAUUAACAUUGUUAAUUAAUUAAAAAAAACUGUUUUCAUGUGGUUAACACUAACGUGUAUUUUGACUAAAAAUUGCUAAUUAACUAAUUAUAUACGAACUUCAUUAAAAAAUCAAACUCUUAACUACAUACUUGGAAAAAAUAUUGUUAUGUGCCAAGUGCCAACUACAAUACAAACUCCUAACUACUUAAAGCAUAAUGAUUAACAUUAAUUUUGACUAGAAAUUGAGAGAUCUAAAAUGCAUCUUAUCCAAAAUAUUUCCUUUUUCUUUUCCUCCACCCAGACCCACAUUUAUACGCACCUGAUCCAGUGGUUAGGACUAAUUACUAAUUAGUAGAUAAGAAAGAUCACAAGCUAAUUAGUAAUUAACGAAGAACUUUAAGUGGCCCCAUUGGUUUUAUGGCACAGAUAUGAAUGUUAAUUGAAGUUAAAUAAAGACAACCAAAA